AGUGAACGCUGGCGGUAGGCCUAACACAUGCAAGUCGAACGGCAGCACAGUAAGAGCUUGCUCUUACGGGUGGCGAGUGGCGGACGGGUGAGGAAUACAUCGGAAUCUACUUUUUCGUGGGGGAUAACGUAGGGAAACUUACGCUAAUACCGCAUACGACCUACGGGUGAAAGCAGGGGAUCUUCGGACCCUGCGCGAUUGAAUGAGCCGAUGUCGGAUUAGCUAGUUGGCGGGGUAAAGGCCCACCAAGGCGACGAUCCGUAGCUGGUCUGAGAGGAUGAUCAGCCACACUGGAACUGAGACACGGUCCAGACUCCUACGGGAGGCAGCAGUGGGGAAUAUUGGACAAUGGGCGCAAGCCUGAUCCAGCCAUACCGCGUGGGUGAAGAAGGCCUUCGGGUUGUAAAGCCCUUUUGUUGGGAAAGAAAAGCAGCAGGUUAAUACCCCGCUGUUCUGACGUUACCCAAAGAAUAAGCACCGGCUAACUUCGUG
rnacentral:rRNA from 1 species